rnacentral:rRNA from 1 species
GUACCGUAUGAAUAAGCAUCGGCUAACUCCGUGCCAGCAGCCGCGGUAAUACGGAGGAUGCGAGCGUUAUCCGGAUUUAUUGGGUUUAAAGGGUGCGCAGGCGGCUNAUUAAGUCAGCGGUGAAAUUUUGCAGCUCAACUGUAAAAGUGCCUUUGAUACUGGUUUUCUUGAGUGUGGAUGANGUAGGCGGAAUNUGUGGUGUAGCGGUGAAAUGCAUAGAUAUCACGCNGAACUCCGAUUGCGCAGGCAGCUUACUAAGCCAUAACUGACGCUCAGGCACGAAAGCGUGGGGAUCAAACAGGAUUAGAUACCCUGGUAGUCCACGCAGUAAACGAUGAUAUACU